AGAUGUGAGAGCGAUCUGGCUGCCACAUCUGUCACCCUGUUGUUGAUUGCCAAGGCUGAUUCGGCUGAUCUGGCUGGCUAGCGGUGUCCCUUUCCUUCCUCACCACUCCCUGUGCGUCCUUCCCAAAGCUGUGUGCUCAGCUGAAGAGGAUGACCUUCCCAAAGUAGAGGGGGACCUGUCUUCAGUCAAGGGUCUACAAGUAGCUGGGCUCCCCUGCUAGAACCUCCAAGCAAGCUCUCAAGAUGAUAAGCCCAGGCUGACCUGGAAUUCACUCUGUAGUCCCAGGCUCG
rnacentral:snRNA from 1 species